AGAAACCAUGAGUGAAAGACUGAUUGACUCUAUCACUUUAAACUCACAGAGCCUUGUCAUGCCAUACUUCAGGACUAAUUGAUGGCUUGUCAAUCUCAUCUUUUUCCAAAUGAAAGAAAAUAUGUUUCAUGGCAAAUUUUCAAUAGUCUCCUUGAAGAUCAUUGAAAGGUCUCCUGGAAUAAUUGAAUCUCAGCUUAGCAAGGCCCAGUGAUAGGGGCUGAGGACACAGAGAAUGGCUCAGAGGGGAGUAAGCAGCCUAUCACACUGAAUGAUGGUAAGAGCUUAAGAAAAUGAGGCAGAGACACUGCAAUGGAUCAAACCACUCAGAAGUAACCAGUGACUUCAGUGAAAGGAAUGGAUUACUGUCUAUCCUACUUCCCCAAAAGAGAAUUAACAGCAUAGAAAUUAUGCCUAAAAGCCAGGUAUUUAUAUACCAGGUGCUCGCUAUAGAAGACUCAGUAUACUUGGCAAGAAGGAAAUUAAUGAAAGUCAAAAAUUAG
ensembl:lincRNA